CGGGAGGCAGCAGUGGGGAAUAUUGCACAAUGGGCGCAAGCCUGAUGCAGCCAUGCCGCGUGUAUGAAGAAGGCCUUCGGGUUGUAAAGUACUUUCAGCGGGGAGGAAGGUGUUGUGGUUAAUAACCUCAGCAAUUGACGUUACCCGCAGAAGAAGCACCGGCUAACUCCGUGCCAGCAGCCGCGGUAAUACGGAGGGUGCAAGCGUUAAUCGGAAUUACUGGGCGUAAAGCGCACGCAGGCGGUCUGUCAAGUC
rnacentral:rRNA from 1 species